CCGUCGUCUCUCCUUACUCCCCCCCCCCCCGGGGCUCUCUUCCACUUCCGGUCGUUGGCGGUUCUGCUCUCGUUACCUGUUUGUUAGUCACGUCCGACUCUCCCGGUGUCUGAAAUGCCGGGCGGCCCCAGGCCUCGAGGGCAUGUUAGGGAGGAGUCACCUUCAUUUUUCGGGGAAGAUGGAAGCUUCAGGGCUCCUUAGGAGUUGGGCAAUAUUGGGCUCUAAUAAUGAUCAUCACGAAAGAAAGCUACGUGGUUGAUGGUAUCGUCUAUUAUAUGAAUCAAACCCUGUUUCCAGGAAAGUAUUGCAUUGACAGAGGGGACUUCCAACUAGAAACCAAUGAAUAAAAAUCAGGUAUUGCAAGAAUUCAAGCAGUACUUGAAAGGGUAUUGUUUAAUAUCUCAGAAGAUAGAAGAAAUAAUUUGCAAACUUACAUUCGGACUUAGUAGAAUUAAAAAAAGUGGUGAUGGGUCUCUGAAGAAAGCAACCACGUGAGCGACAGUACUGUGUAACAACGGACUUGGCUACAAGCUCAUCACCUAGGAGCCAUGUAAUCUUGCAGCGGUUACUUAAUCUUUCUGAGCUUCCAUUUCUUCGUCUGUAAA
rnacentral:lncRNA from 1 species